AAACCAGCUGGCCCCUUCCACCAGGUGAGAGCAUAGCUUGAAAGGGUGGUCCAUGAACCAGGAAGCAGACCCUCACCAGACACCAAAUCUGCGGGCACCUUGAUCCUGGACUUCCAGCCUCCAGAAUUGGGAGAAUGGACACCUCUCCUGUGACCACUGUCCUCACAUCCAAGCCUGUCCCUGUGGCUUCCCGGUAGCAGGACUCUAAGCCGCAGUGCAGACCACAGCCACGAGUUCUCUGUAGCUCCUGGUCCAACAGCGCCUGCCACACAGCCGUCUCUUCACAGCAGAAACCUCAGUCUGUGCCUGGGUUUUUGCAGAGCUGAAGAAGGAACAUUUUCUUGGAGGACAGAAUCAGGUGGAAAAGAAGAGAACAUAUUUCCCUCCACAGAGCCUUGACUUCUCAAAGUCCCUCCCAGAGGCAUGGCAGCUACAGAGGAGCUUGCUUCCACUUGAGAGAAGUCCUGGACUACCUCAUGCGAUCUCUUCCAGCCCCAGGGGCCAUGGCUCGGUCUCUACAUCAGUGGUGGGGUCUCCAAUGUCCAAAGCUAUGACUGUACCCUGGGAGCCUGCUAUGGACCAGCCGCUGCAGAACUGCUUCCCAUACUUACAGACAUGGCUUUCUUCCAAACAGAUAGGGCUACGCCGCCAUUCAUCAACCAUCGGUGGUUGGUACCCUCUAGGACCCCUCAGCCUCAGGAAGCACAUACCCCACAACCCAGGCUUGGCAGUUUUUCCUGACAGCCUCUCAAAGAUCACAUGUGGUCCCUUCUGGUUAGCCACGUCCAUUGCUGGAGAAACCUGGAAAUUGUUUCUAUGGGACACAGUCAGCUGAUACAGCCCCACCCUCCUACCUCCCCUCAACCUUGGAUGUGUCCCAAGAACUGAUUCCAAAGUAUUCUCCUCUUCUGGAAAGCCUCUGAGGUUCAGGGAAUAUUUCAGCUCUUUCUCGGAUGUUUCCCAUCUUAAAGGGUGGGAUUGAACGGGUCAUUUUACCUCUUUCUCCCUAAGGGGCUGGCCAUGGGACAUAUAUUCUGCUUCUUUAUAGCAAUAUGGCCAGGAGGAGUAGAAAACUUUGUGCCUUUGAAAACAGUGUGGUAACUUUCGACUCUUUUGAGUUCCUCCUGAUUCUGCUUGUGGGGUGGAGGAGUAGCACCCCCUCCCUGGGCACUGUCUAUAAAUAACCCCCUGGUUUUAGGGGGCCUGGACCACCUUCUGGGAAAGAUGACAUGUUCCUCUGCUUUCAUAACCUUUUUAAGACAGUGAGUUGGUGGGGAAAGGCUGGCUUCUAAGGAGAACAGCUUGGAGUCUACAUCGUGACCACUCACAGGCUUGGUGGACUUGGGUCUAAACUUCCAACAGGUUUAAUCCAAGAGGUGAAGACGUGGGAUAGGUAGGGUCUUUGGAUAGAGGAACAGAGACCACAAAAUAGUGGAUCACUGCAUAGGGGUGGAGGCUGUCUGGGUCAUCAGGGUGGAAGCAGGACCCUUCACAGUAGCUGAGGGAGGGGUACGAUGACAAGUUCCUGCCCUCCAGAAAGAGAGAGAGUAUUCUGGCAAGGAGGAGGCAGAUGGUCAGGCCCCAAGCCAGGCAGCUGUGGUUUGGGGCAGGGUUCCAGGGCCAGCAGGGGGUGGAGUCCAAAUGGGAGCUGAGCAGGCGCCCAGUCAUAUGCCAGUCUUGGCCCAUGGGAUGGGUUUAGACAGAAAUGUCCUGGGGCAGGACAUCUGGGUGCCAAAGAGCUUUCUCCAGGCCUCUGGGUCCUAGCCUUAGGGUCUUGGCCUUAGCAAGACUGACCAUUCCUCCUUUCCCCCCGUGGGGGCAAGGGCCCCAGAUUAUAAGCCAACCAAACUUGUGUAGGAUCAGCUCGGCUACCUAGGAGGCCAUAGGAGUUGUGGGAUUACCUUCCCCGCAUCUUUCCUACAAGAUCCCGACUCUUCUCAUGAUAGGCAGCCAUUGCUACACACUGAAACAGAUGAGGUCUUGCAGUCUGCUGGAAGUUGCGAUUGAAAUCUGUGAAAUACGUAUACAAGAAGAGACUGUAGAUGGCAGACAGAUUUAUAUGUACCUCCAUAUAGAUGAGGCAUACUCACGCAUAAGCAUAGGUCUUAUAUACAUAGUAGAUGAAUUUCUAAAAAGUUGUAUAUAGAUUCUAUUUUUGUGAAUGAUCCUUUUUUGAAAUUUGCCAAGGCAACAUCUCCUGAUGAACCUAUAUGUUCUCUUUAAUUAAAGAGGGGAUAUAUGCGUGGUUUUAUUUUUGGUUUUUGGGGGGUUUUUUUGUACUAGGGAUUGAACCCAGGUGUUCUCUAUCACUGAGCUACAUCCCAUGGCUUCUUAUUUUUUAUUUUCAAGACAAGAUCAUGCUAAGUUACUGAGGGUCUGAGUUGCUGAGGCUGGCCUCAAACUUACAAUCCUCCUGCCUCAGCCUCCUGCGUCACUGGGAUUACACCACCAUACCUGGAAAACAUUCUGCAGCCUAACUUGUUUUUUCUUUCUUAUCUAAUUGUACAAGCUCAGAGCUAAACUUUCUUGGUUUGUCUUCUAACAUGGUUGUUUUCUUUUUUUCAAUCCAUGUUGUUACUUGUCUUCUGUCUGUAAGUCCAUGAGGUAAUAACUUUAUGGAUAUUUAUCACAUGGAAUUUUCAAUGAUUUCAGUGGUAUCAUGGUAUCACUUGGAAGAAUAAUGUAUAAGCAAUAAAUAAAUGAGUCAAAUUUUCUAGAA